UACAGAGGUCUCAAGCGUUGUUCGGAUUCAUUGGGCGUAAAGGGUGCGUAGGUGGCGCGGUAAGUCGGGUGUGAAAUUUCGGAGCUUAACUCCGAAACUGCAUUCGAUACUGCCGUGCUUGAGGACUGGAGAGGAGACUGGAAUUUACGGUGUAGCAGUGAAAUGCGUAGAUAUCGAGAGGAACACCAGUGGCGAAGGCGAGUCCCUGGACAAAACCUGACACUGAGGCACGAAAGCUAGGGGAGCAAACAGG
rnacentral:rRNA from 1 species